UACGGAGGGGGCUAGCGUUGUUCGGAAUUACUGGGCGUAAAGCGCAUGUAGGCGGCUUUGUAAGUUAGAGGUGAAAGCCUGGAGCUCAACUCCAGAAUUGCCUUUAAGACUGCAUCGCUUGAAUCCAGGAGAGGUAAGUGGAAUUCCUAGUGUAGAGGUGAAAUUCGUAGAUAUUCGGAAGAACACCAGUGGCGAAGGCGGAUUACUGGACUGGUAUUGACGCUGAGGUGCGAAAGCGUGGGGAGCAAACAGG
rnacentral:rRNA from 1 species